rnacentral:rRNA from 1 species
UACGUAGGGGGCAAGCGUUGUCCGGAUUUAUUGGGCGUAAAGAGCGUGUAGGCGGCCAAAUAGGUCGGUUGUGAAAACUGGAGGCUUAACCUCCAGACGUCGACCGAAACCAUCUGGCUAGAGUCCGGAAGAGGAGAGUGGAAUUCCUGGUGUAGCGGUGAAAUGCGCAGAUAUCAGGAGGAACACCGAUGGCGAAGGCAGGUCUCUGGGCCACUACUGACGCUGAGAAGCGAAAGCAUGGGGAGCGAACAGG